GACGAACGCUGGCGGCGUGCCUAAUACAUGCAAGUCGAACGCUUCUUUCCUCCCGAGUGCUUGCACUCAAUUGGAAAGAGGAGUGGCGGACGGGUGAGUAACACGUGGGUAACCUACCCAUCAGAGGGGGAUAACACUUGGAAACAGGUGCUAAUACCGCAUAACAGUUUAUGCCGCAUGGCAUAAGAGUGAAAGGCGCUUUCGGGUGUCGCUGAUGGAUGGACCCGCGGUGCAUUAGCUAGUUGGCGAGGUAACGGCUCACCAAGGCCACGAUGCAUAGCCGACCUGGGAGGGUGAUCGGCCACACUGGGACUGAGACACGGCCCAGACUCCUACGGGAGGCAGCAGUAGGGAAUCUUCGGCAAAGGACGAAAGUCUGACCGAGCAACGCCGCGUGAGUGAAGAAGGUUUUCGGAUCGUAAAACUCUGUUGUUAGAGAAGAACAAGGACGUUAGUAACUGAACGUCCCCUGACGGUAUCUAACCAGAAAGCCACGGCUAACUACGUG
rnacentral:rRNA from 1 species